UACGGAGGAUCCAAGCGUUAUCCGGAAUCAUUGGGUUUAAAGGGUCCGUAGGCGGUAGAUUAAGUCAGUGGUGAAAUCCUACAGCUUAACUGUAGAAUUGCCAUUGAUACUGGUUUACUUGAAUUAGGUUGAAGUAGCUAGAAUGUGUAGUGUUGCGGUGAAAUGCAUAGAUAUUACACAGAAUACCGAUAGCGAAGGCAGGUUACUAAGCCUAUAUUGACGCUGAGGGACGAUAGCGUGGGGAGCAAACAGG
rnacentral:rRNA from 1 species